GAGCUUGCUCUUCUUGGAUGAGUUGCGAACGGGUGAGUAACGCGUAGGUAACCUGCCUUGUAGCGGGGGAUAACUAUUGGAAACGAUAGCUAAUACCGCAUAACAAUGAAUGACUCAUGUCAUUUAUUUGAAAGGGGCAAUUGCUCCACUACAAGAUGGACCUGCGUUGUAUUAGCUAGUAGGUGAGGUAACGGCUCACCUAGGCGACGAUACAUAGCCGACCUGAGAGGGUGAUCGGCCACACUGGGACUGAGACACGGCCCAGACUCCUACGGGAGGCAGCAGUAGGGAAUCUUCGGCAAUGGGGGCAACCCUGACCGAGCAACGCCGCGUGAGUGAAGAAGGUUUUCGGAUCGUAAAGCUCUGUUGUAAGUCAAGAACGAGUGUGAGAGUGGAAAGUUCACACUGUGACGGUAGCUUACCAGAAAGGGACGGCUAACUACGUGCCAGCAGCCGCGGUAAUACGUAGGUCCCGAGCGUUGUCCGGAUUUAUUGGGCGUAA
rnacentral:rRNA from 1 species